GAGAGAGAGAGCCCUGUGGAGGUAGUGAGAGAGAGAGCCCUGUGGAGGUAGUGAGAGAGAGAGUCCUGUGGAGGUAGUGAGAGAGAGCUCUGUGGAGGUAGUGAGAGAGAGAGUCCUGUGGAGGUAGUGAGAGAGAGAGUCCUGUGGAGGUAGUGAGAGAGAGAGAGCCCUGUAGAGGUAGUGAGAGAGAGAGAGCCCUGUAGAGGUAGUGAGAGAGAGAGCCC